UGGGGAAUAUUGCACAAUGGGCGAAAGCCUGAUGCAGCGACGCCGCGUGAGGGAUGACGGCCUUCGGGUUGUAAACCUCUUUCAGCAGGGACGAAGCGAAAGUGACGGUACCUGCAGAAGAAGCGCCGGCCAACUACGUGCCAGCAGCCGCGGUAAGACGUAGGGCGCAAGCGUUGUCCGGAAUUAUUGGGCGUAAAGAGCUCGUAGGCGGCUUGUUGCGUCGACUGUGAAAACCCGUGGCUCAACCAUGUGGUCUGCAGUCGAUACGGGCAGGCUAGAAUUCGGUAGGGGAGACUGGAAUUCCUGGUGUAGCGGUGAAAUGCGCAGAUAUCAGGAGGAACACCGAUGGCGAAGGCAGGUCUCUGGGCCGAUAUUGACGCUGAGGAGCGAAAGCGUGGGGAGCGAACA
rnacentral:rRNA from 1 species